GCUCAGUUGGUUAAGCGGCUGACUCUUGAUUUUGGCUCAGAUCAUGAUCUCAUGUUUUGUAGGUUCAAGCCCCACACUGGGCU
rnacentral:tRNA from 1 species